rnacentral:snRNA from 1 species
CAAAGCUGUAUACCAUUCAAG